CACGUAGGGGCCAAGCGUUUGUCCGGAUUCAUUGGGCGUAAAGAGCUCGUAGGCGGUUCAGUUAGUCGGGUGUGAAAUCUCCGGGCUCAACCCGGAGGGGCCACCCGAUACUGCUGUGACUCGAGUCCGGUAGGGGAGUGGGGAAUUCCUGGUGUAGCAGUGAAAUGCGCAGAUAUCAGGAGGAACACCGGUGGCGAAGGCGCCACUCUGGGCCGGUACUGACGCUGAGGAGCGAAAGCGUGGGUAGCAAACAGG
rnacentral:rRNA from 1 species